rnacentral:rRNA from 1 species
UACAGAGGGUGCGAGCGUUAAUCGGAAUUAUUGGGCGUAAAGGGUGCGUAGGUUGGAUAUAAAGUGAGAUGUGAAAUUCCUGGGCUUAACCUGGGCCUUGCAUUUCAAACUUAUAUUCUAGAGUACAGUAGAGGGAAGUGGAAUUUCCGGUGUAGCGGUGAAAUGCGUAGAUAUCGGAAGGAACAUCAGUGGCGAAGGCGGCUUCCUGGACUGAUACUGACACUGAGGCACGAAAGCGUGGGUAGCGAAC